AUUGAACGCUGGCGGCAUGCCUUACACAUGCAAGUCGAACGGUAACAGGUCUUCGGAUGCUGACGAGUGGCGAACGGGUGAGUAAUACAUCGGAACGUGCCUAGUAGUGGGGGAUAACUACUCGAAAGAGUGGCUAAUACCGCAUGAGAUCUACGGAUGAAAGCAGGGGAUCGCAAGACCUUGUGCUACUAGAGCGGCCGAUGGCAGAUUAGGUAGUAGGUGGGAUAAAAGCUUACCAAGCCGACGAUCUGUAGUUGGUCUGAGAGGACGAUCAGCCACACUGGGACUGAGACACGGCCCAGACUCCUACGGGAGGCAGCAGUGGGGAAUUUUGGACAAUGGGCGCAAGCCUGAUCCAGCAAUGCCGCGUGCAGGAUGAAGGCCUUCGGGUUGUAAACUGCUUUUGUACGGAACGAAAAGCCCUGGGUUAAUACCCUGGGGUCAUGACGGUACCGUAAGAAUAAGCACCGGCUAACUACGUGCCAGCAGCCGCCGUAACAC
rnacentral:rRNA from 1 species